rnacentral:rRNA from 1 species
GAUUCCCCUAGUAACUGCGAGUGAAGAGGGAAAAGCUCAAAUUUAAAAUCUGGCUUCCUUAGGUUGUCCGAGUUGUAAUCUAGAGAAGCGUCAUCCGCGCUGGACCGUGUACAAGUCUCCUGGAACGGAGCGUCAUAGAGGGUGAGAAUCCCGUCUUCGACACGGACUACCGGGGCUUUGUGAUGCGCUCUCAAAGAGUCGAGUUGUUUGGGAAUGCAGCUCAAAAUGGGUGGUAAAUUCCAUCUAAAGCUAAAUAUUGGCGAGAGACCGAUAGCGAACAAGUACCGUGAGGGAAAGAUGAAAAGAACUUUGGAAAGAGAGUUAAACAGUACGUGAAAUUGCUGAAAGGGAAACGCUUGAAGUCAGUCGCGUUGGUCGAGAAUCAGCCUUGCUUUUGCAUGGCUUAUUUCGCGGUUCAACGGGUCAGCAUCAAUUUUGACCAUUGGAUAAAGAUGAGAGGAAUGUAGCAUCUUCGGAUGUGUUAUAGCCUCUUGUUGCAUGCAGUGGUUGGGAUUGAGGAACUCAGCACGCCGCAAGGCCGGGAGCAAUCCACGUUCGUGCUUAGGAUGCUGGCAUAAUGGCUUUAAUCGACCCGUCUUGAAACACGGACCAAGGAGUCUAACAUGCCUGCAAGUGUUUGGGUGUAAAACCCAUGCGCGCAAUGAAAGUGAAAGUUGAGAUCCCUGUCGUGGGGAGCAUCGACGCCCGGACCAGACCUUUUGUGACGGAUCCGCGGUAGAGCAUGUAUGUUGGGACCCGAAAGAUGGUGAACUAUGCCUGAAUAGGGUGAAGCCAGAGGAAACUCUGGUGGAGGCUCGUAGCGAUUCUGACGUGCAAAUCGAUCGUCAAAUUUGGGUAUAGGGGCGAAAGACUAAUCGAACC